rnacentral:lncRNA from 1 species
AUAAUGCAGAAUAAAUUAUCGUUAGCCUUCAAUAGUGUUAAACUGAUAAAAUAUAAUAAACAUCAAGUUUAACUACAGCGGAACAAGCAAUCCAUUAGAAGAGUCAAGUAGAGCAUGAUAUCUACUAUCUUCUAUGAUUUAAAAAGUUUAUCAUCAAUUUUAUCGCUAAGACUCAGCUUAAUAAAUAAUCCACAUCACUAAAUUAUCCAUGCACUACAGGCCAAUGGUAUUCAUUAGUAUCACGACCACGAAUAAUACAUGCACUACGGGCCAAAGAUAUUCGUGUUUUCACCAACAUGCCAACCAUUGUCU